rnacentral:tRNA from 2 species
GUCCCCUUCGUCUAGUGGCCUAGGACACCGCCCUUUCACGGCGGUAACAGGGGUUCGAGUCCCCUAG